GGACACUGAGGCAGAGUAAAGUCUUUCUUGCUGAAAGGUCUUUUUUUGACAGGCAUUAAAAAAUAAAUGGAAAAAAGCUAUAUUUAGAGUUCCCUUUAGAAUGUUUUUAUUAAAUGUAGAAGGAGUGUAAAUUUGAACAGAAUAAUCUUUUGCAGAUGAAACUUUUAUUCCAUUAAUAGGUAAAUUAAUAAAUAUUGUUAUGUGGCGUUAGCUUCAGAUAUCAAUGUAAUCCCAGUUUAAUUAAAUCAAUAUAAGUAUUUAACUGGAUCCUUUGCAGUUUAAUCAGUUUUGGACCCAGAGUGCUACAUGUUAAAUAAAAAAGUGGUUGAGAAACUGACUCUAAAAUGUACAUCUACCUCUUAAUUUACUUGUAAUACUGUACAUUUGGCUUCUGAUAGGAACCAUAAGCUGAAGCUGAGAGGCAGAAGAAUAUGAUGCUCCAUGAGAAAUAAGAGGUAGAAGCAAAAGGAAAACAGGUAGAAGACAGGGUGAAAGAAAAUUACAACCUCUGUAGAUUUUUCUGAACUAAAAUUGUGGGGACUAGACUAAUCCUGAGCAGCUUUUGUAGGCCAGGCACGUUGCACAGCCAGGCUCUCAUUAAAUAUGUUUUCCUCUUAAAUUUAAAAAAAAAAAUUUAACUAAAAUUUUCAAAUCCAGAAGAAAAUCGGGGUUUGUAGAUGUGUAAUAGGUAGACUGAUGUACUUGGAGGACAAAAAGUGUAAGGGUUCAGACAAAUCCCCUUUCUAUUUUCUAGGAGUAAAAAUACCUUACCUGAAAGACGACUGCACAUGUUUACACAUCCUCACACAGAUGUACUCAAAAGAUGUUUGCAAGCCCUAGGAUAGAGAGUCACUUUCCACCACUAAGAAGGGCUCAGUUUUGAUGUAAGUUCCAAGGAAUUCCUUGAUUUUUAUAUAUUACCAUGUAUUUACUCUACAAUAAAGAUAAUUCAGUGAAGACAUCAA